rnacentral:rRNA from 1 species
AUACGUAGGUGACAAGCGUUAUCCGGAUUUACUGGGCGUAAAGGGCGUGUAGGCGGUCUUGCAAGUCAGAAGUGAAAUUCCUGAGCUCAACUCGGGCGCUGCUUCUGAAACUGCAGGACUUGAGUGCUGGAGGGGAUAGCGGAAUUCCUAGUGGAGCGGUAAAAUGCGCAGAUAUUAGGAAGAACACCGGUGGCGAAGGCGGCUAUCUGGACAGUAACUGACGCUGAGGCGCGAAAGCGUGGGGAGCAAACAGGAUUAGAUACCCUGGUAGUCCACGCUGUAAACGAUGAUUACUAGGUGUAGGGGGUAUCGACUCCCUCUGUGCCGCAGUUAACACAAUAAGUAUUCCGCCUGGGGAGUACGGCCGCAAGGUUGAAACUCAAAUGAAUUGGCGGGG